UGGGGAAUAUUGGACAAUGGGGGGAACCCUGAUCCAGCCAUGCCGCGUGUGUGAAGAAGGCCUAAUGGUUGUAAAGCACUUUAAGCGAGGAGGAGGGUACUGGUAUUAAUACUACCAGCUACUGGACGUUACUCGCAGAAUAAGCACCGGCUAACUCUGUGCCAGCAGCCGCGGUAAUACAGAGGGUGCGAGCGUUAAUCGGAUUUACUGGGCGUAAAGCGUGCGUAGGCGGCUAAUUGAGUCGGAUGUGAAAUCCCCGAGCUUAACUUGGGAAUUGCAUUCGAUACUGGUUAGCUAGAGUGUGGGAGAGGAUGGUAGAAUUCCAGGUGUAGCGGUGAAAUGCGUAGAGAUCUGGAGGAAUACCGAUGGCGAAGGCAGCCAUCUCGCCUAACACUGACGCUGAGGUACGAAAGCAUGGGGAGCAAACAGG
rnacentral:rRNA from 1 species